rnacentral:rRNA from 1 species
AGAGUUUGAUCCUGGCUCAGGAUGAACGCUGGCGGCGUGCUUAACACAUGCAAGUCGAACGAAGCGCCUGACUCUGAGACUUCCGGUGAAUAAGAGGGAUGACUUACUGGCGGACGGGCGAGUAACGCGUGGGUAACCUGCCUCAUGCAUGGGGACUACUGUUGGAAACGACCGCUAAUCCCGCAUAUGACCACAGCAUCGCAUGAGGCGGCGGAGAAAGACCCACCGGCAUGAGAUGGACCCGCGUCUGAUCAACUGGUUGGUGAGGUAACGGCCCAUCCCAGGUAUGGAUCAGUAGCGGACCUGAGAGGGUGAUCGGGCCCCAUUGGGGUUAAACCACGUCCCAAAUUCCUUCGGGAGGCAGCAGUGGGGAAUAUUGCACAAUGGGGGGAACCCUUAUCCAGCGACGGCCGCGUGAGUGAAGAAGUAUUUCGGUAUGUAAAGCUCUUUAAGCAGGGAAGGAAAUGUCGGUACCUGCAGAAUAAGCCCCGGCUAACUACGUGCCAGCAGCCGCGGUAAUACGUAGGGGGGCAAGCGUUAUCCGGAUUUACUGGGUGUAAAGGGAGCGUAGACGGCGAUGUAAGUCUGAGGUGAAAGCCCGUGGCUCAACUGCGGGACUGCUUUGGAAACUACAUGGCUAGAGUGUCGGAGAGGUGAGUGGAAUUCCCAGUGUAGCGGUGAAAUGCGUAGAUAUUGGGAGGAACACCAGAGGCGAAGGCGGCUCACUGGACGAUUACUGACGUUGAGGCUCGAAAGCGUGGGGAGCAAACAAAAUUAGAUACCCUGGUAGUCCACGCCCUAAA